ACCGGGAUGGCCUCAUCGGCUAAGGCGCCGCUCCGCGUAGGCGAAGGUCGCGGGUUCGAUCCCCGCUCCUUGGC
rnacentral:tRNA from 1 species